rnacentral:rRNA from 1 species
UACGUAGGGUGCAAGCGUUAAUCGGAAUUACUGGGCGUAAAGCGUGCGCAGGCGGUGAUGUAAGACAGAUGUGAAAUCCCCGGGCUCAACCUGGGAACUGCAUUUGUGACUGCAUCGCUGGAGUGCGGCAGAGGGGGAUGGAAUUCCGCGUGUAGCAGUGAAAUGCGUAGAUAUGCCGAGGAACACCGAUGGCGAAGGCAAUCCCCUGGGCCUGCACUGACGCUCAUGCACGAAAGCGUGGGGAGCAAACAGG